rnacentral:rRNA from 1 species
GACGAACGCUGGCGGCGUGCUUAACACAUGCAAGUCGAACGGGCCCGCUCUCUUUUUUGGGGGUGGGUUGAGUGGCGAACGGGUGAGUAUCACGUGAGUAACCUGCCCCCUGCUCCUGGAUAACUGCUUGAAAGGGCGGCUAAUACGGGGUGUGCCGGCUGGUCCGCAUGGGCCUGGUCGGGAUAGUUUCAUCUUCGGGUGUUUCGGUGGGGGAUGGGCUCGCGGCCUAUCAGCUUGUUGGUGGGGUGAUGGCCCACCAAGGCGGUGACGGGUAGCCGGCCUGAGAGGGUGGGCGGCCACACUGGGACUGAGACACGGCCCAGACUCCUGCGGGAGGCAGCAGUGGGGGGUAUUGCACAAUGGGCGGAAGCCGGAUGCAGCGACGUCGCGUGAGGGAUGGAGGCCUUCGGGUUGUGAACCUCUUUCUCCGGUGGUGAAGGCCCUGUCCGUUGCGGCGGGGUUGACGGUAGCCGGGUAUGAAGCGCCGGCUAACUACGUG